AACUAGUGGACUUAAUAGCAACCACCAACACGUGUUUAUUUAUUCCAGAUAAGUAUUGCUCCAGAUGUUGACCACAGCAAGCGAUGGAAGACCAGGACCGUUCUAGACUGCAAGAGUCCUGUUUUCAACGAGACUUUUAUGUUAAAUGUGGAUGAAGACGAUCAGAAGAAGAGGCUGUUGUUAACCGUGUGGAAUCGCAGUCGAACUUCCAGGCGCAGUGACUUCCUGGGCUGUAUGAGUUUUGGUGUCCACUCCC
rnacentral:lncRNA from 1 species